CCUACGGGGGGCUGCAGUGAGGGAUAUUGGUCAAUGGGGGAAACCCUGAACCAGCAACGCCGCGUGAGGGAAGACGGCCCUCGGAUUGUAAACCUCCGUUUUCUGUGAAGAUAAUGACGGUAGCAGAGGAGGAAGCUCCGGCUAACUACGUGCCAGCAGCCGCGGUAAUACGUAGGGAGCAAGCGUUGUCCGGAUUUACUGGGUGUAAAGGGUGCGUAGGCGGCCCUGCAAGUCAGAAGUGAAAUCCAUGGGCUUAACCCGUGAACUGCUUUUGAAACUGUAGGGCUUGAGUGAAGUAGAGGCAGGCGGAAUGCGUGGUGUAGCGGUGAAAUGCGUAGAGAUCGGGAAGAACACCAGUGGCGAAGGCGGCCUGCUGGGCUUUAACUGACGCUGAAGCACGAAAGCGUGGGUAGCAAACAGGAUUAGAUACCCGUGUAGUC
rnacentral:rRNA from 1 species